UUGCACAAAUUUCUGCAGAUGCCCUCCAUUUCUCAACUACUCUCCUAUUUCUCUGUCUCUUUCUCUUCUUUCUGCCUUUUUCUUGGCUGGAGUUGCAGAGAGAAUGGGGUGUGUGAGCAAGAUGGAGAAGCAGGGCACGUGCAUUACUAACUCAUGCACAUAUAUACACAUUUUGUUAUCACUUUCGCUGAAAAGGGUGUGAGUUAGUUUUUCAUGUGCCCGUCUUCCCCAUCAUGACCACUUCACCUACCUAUUGAUUCUUACUGCCUGUUUUUCAAGCUCGAUUCACCAUUUCAGGAUAUUAGCAAUGAAUAGAAUUGAAGUUGACAUGUCAAUUACAGGAUUGCCUUUAAUUUUCUGGUUUGCAUUAGCGGUUGAAAUAGUGGUUAAUAUCAAAACAGGACAAUGAGUUUACGUUGUUCAAAAUUGGCAUACAACAAAUAUGGUGGUUCAGAUACUUUAUGCUUCACCUACCAAAGAAAAGUGGCUGCAUUGAUCAUAUCCACCAGUUUCGGAUCGAUCAAUUUGGAAUUUUCUAAAGCUAUGUAUCUCUAAUUAGAGAAGGCAGAGUAAGACUCAAAAACUAAAGGGGCGAACUAAGAAAUAUGUUCAACCAUUAGGGGUCAAAUUGAAAAAAUAAAAAAUUUACAGUUUUGGGUGUAGGGUUCCUUCCAGCCCCCUUACCUCCCCUUCUCAAACAAAAAUAAUCUUAUUUCUUAUUGUUUAAUUAUGAAGUGGUGAUUUAGAUUGGUGAAAUGUAAAAUUGAAAAUUGUUAUAUAGUCCCUUGAUUUUUCUCAAAUGCAUUAGUGAGGACAUCAAUUUUCAAAAUUAAACUAUUUAAUAUCUAUAUUAUAAUUUCAUCUAUGUUAGUUUUUCCAUUAAGUGGCCGUGAAAUAUCAAAAGUACUUCUCAAAUAAAUUACUUUAUAGUCCUUACAAUUUGGUGAAACACAUUAAUAAGGACCUCAAUAUUCAUAGCUUUGCACUAUCUAGUCCAUAUACAGAAAUUACCUUUAAGAGUAUUUUUGAUAUUUCACUACCACUUAAUUGAAAAAUUAAUCGUUGGACGUAAUAUUAUAACACAAUUAAAUAGUAUAAUCUUAAAAACUAUUUCCUUACUAAUAUAUUUGACAAAAAUCUAGGUACUUUGUAUAUAAUUUAAGGUUUAUCUUUUAUAUCAUCAUUCUUCAUAUUUAUUUAUUUAUUUAUUUUUUUGGCUAAACUUGUCAAUUAUUUUCGAUUCGACCCAUUUCAAAUUCCUAACUGUAUAAUUUCUGUAGGAUAGUUUAGUAACAAUACGCCUUUUCUUUUCUUUUUCUUUUCAUUGAUGGAACUUGCCUAAAUUAUUCUACACGGUGAGGGAGCAAAAUUUCUUUUCUAACAUAAAUGGAUACGACAAUCUAGCAUAGGAUAAAGAUCAAGAAUUGAAAAUGUCCAACGAACGAAUAUGUAAUUUUCAAAGCAAUCAGUGAGUAACUUCAAACUAUAUGUUAUCAAUAUGAGAUAGAACUUUGACUGAAGCAUUAGCCUAGUAACUCUGUAUAUAUAGUGUCAUUAUCAUAAAACGUGAAUUUUAAUUUCCAUGAGUGGUCA